CCUACGGGAGGCUGCAGUGAGGAAUAUUGGUCAAUGGACGAGAGUCUGAACCAGCCAAGUCGCGUGAAGGAUGAAUGCCCUAUGGGUUGUAAACUUCUUUUAUAUGGGAAUAAAGUGUUCCACGUGUGGGAUUUUGUAUGUACCAUAUGAAUAAGGAUCGGCUAACUCCGUGCCAGCAGCCGCGGUAAUACGGAGGAUCCGAGCGUUAUCCGGAUUUAUUGGGUUUAAAGGGAGCGUAGGUGGAUUGUUAAGUCAGUUGUGAAAGUUUGCGGCUCAACCGUAAAAUUGCAGUUGAAACUGGCAGUCUUGAGUAUAGUAGAGGUAGGCGGAAUUCGUGGUGUAGCGGUGAAAUGCUUAGAUAUCACGAAGAACUCCGAUUGCGAAGGCAGUUCACUGGACUGCAACUGACACUGAGGCUCGAAAGUGUGGGUAUCAAACAGGAUUAGAUACCCGGGUAGUC
rnacentral:rRNA from 1 species